rnacentral:rRNA from 1 species
UACGGGGGGGGCAAGCGUUGUUCGGAAUUACUGGGCGUAAAGGGCUCGUAGGUGGCCAACUAAGUCAUACGUGAAAUCCCUCGGCUUAACCGGGGAACUGCGUCUGAUACUGGUUGGCUUGAGUUUGGGAGAGGGACGCGGAAUUCCAGGUGUAGCGGUGAAAUGCGUAGAUAUCUGGAGGAACACCGGUGGCGAAGGCGGCGUCCUGGACCAAUACUGACACUGAGGAGCGAAAGCCAGGGGAGCAAACGGG